ACACGUAAAAGGAGCUCAUUCGGAGGCAGGGGCACGCGCUUGUCCCCAGAACUCAAACCCCAGAGUCCCUCCGAACCCCUGCCAAUCUGAGGACGGGGCCACCCCACAGACGCCGUGGCUCAGCAAGCAGACCAAUGGCCGAGGAGUCUGGCAAGGGGCGCUUGGCAGAUGAGAGUGGAGGUUGUAAAUCACCCUCCAUGCAAUGGUUCAUCAUAAAGGAUAUGGAGCAAAAUUAGAGGAGGCACGAGAAGGAAAGCCGGUGAUGAACAAGGAUUUGCCUCAACUACAGAGACAGCAUGGAACACGCCCUCCUAGGCUGCCCACAUCCUCAUCUGCAUGGGGGCACAGAAGCCUGGCCAUUCAUCCCAUGGGAGACUCAGGACAUGCUCCCAGCAACCUGAUGGGCUGCCCAAGGCUUGGCUGAUCCUGCAUCCCUGCAUCACAUCUCAGCUUCUCCCUCUGCCCAAAUCUACUUCCUCCCCAUUCCUUUCACAGGCAUUGAUUCCCUGAUAAACACCUUGCACCCCAUAUUCCAUCUCAGAGUCUCCUUGCAGAGAACCCAACCUGUGGCAGAGCUGGUCUCAGGACUCGGAGCGAGGGAGCAGGGAAAGAGGACAGGAAAGCAGGGAGAGUCAAUUUAAGGGUAUGUUGUCUGAGACAAAGAUUCUGCUAGGACCUCUGAGAUGGGUACAAGAUGCCUGGAGCCAUUCACUGGGCAGUAUCUGUCCAUCAGCUCCCAGGCCCCACAGAACCGGAGCUGCCUGUGAGGGCUUUCACUGCCCUGCAUUUCUGGGCUUCACAUAUGCACUGGCUGAGAGGGCUCCCUGUCUUCAAGGACGAUCCUGAGCAGAAAGUGGGUGCACUUGAGGUGGCAUGCUGUUGCGAGAGUCUGAGCUUUAUGAGAAGCAGACCCAGGGGGCAUGGUGUGGGGCAUCCCAAAGGACCUGCCAUACAUUAGGUGCCUUGGUCUUGGGGAGGA
rnacentral:lncRNA from 1 species